UUGCAGUACUAUAUCAGAGAGAGGAUGACGGAUACGUUCCAUCGCUUUUCGCAUCGAUUUCACUGAAUCAAAUAAAAUUAAUUGUAAAUGCAAUUGUGGGUACAA